GGAAAGAUCACGGCAUGUGCAGAUUAAUGAUGAGAGCCUCUGCGACUCUUGUCAUGCACGCCUUGGUACAAAACUCUUUGCUAUGUACCCAGACGAUACCAUUGUCUGUUACAAGUGUUUCNGUGAGUCCACUUCUGUCACAGGCCGGAACUUUAAGCGAGAUGUACUAUUAAAACCAGGUUGGCUUGUAACUCGCUGAGCAAGGAACACUAUAUUGGAGGAAUUAAACGCUGGCAUAUGGUUCUGGGCUCUCUGCUUGAAGGUCCUAAAGGUUAUGCUCGGAUGAGUGUCUUCAUGGUUCUGGGCUCGCUGAGCAAGGAACACUGUAUAUUGAAUUAAAGGUUAUGCUCGGAUGAGUGUCUUGGCAGCAGGCCAAUUGAUGUUUGUAUGCGAACCAUGAACCUUGGUUCUGAUAAAAGAAAAAGGUUGUAGAAAACAAAAGGCUUUUUUGUAGAGUAAUUUAUUUUAUUUUAUUUUAGAUGGGUGGAUUUUUAUUCGUAGAUUUAAUGGAGGAAUUGAUAUAGGUUAUUCUGAUGGUUAUCUACGAAUAAAAAUCCACCCAUCUAAAAU
rnacentral:misc_RNA from 1 species